rnacentral:lncRNA from 10 species
CAGAUGGCUUAGUUAAGUUGACCCAGCUAUUGGGAUGGGUUGUGCAAAGCCCAGGCACAGGGUUCAGACUCCAUCUUCUGUGUUCUUCUUAAUUGACAAACUGCAAUGGCUGUCUUCAGAGUCUUGGUUUUCUAUGGUGGUCAACUCCUGAGUUCUUAUGAUGUCGCUGGGCACAGAAAAAAUAAACGGAGAAGCCGUGAAUGGCCCAGCAUCCAAACCUGCCUAUGGAGCUGCAGCCCACUUCUCCACUGGAUCCAAGAAAGGAAUACAGAGGAGCACUCCUUUCCCCACGCAACACAAUGGGUUGUGGUACAUACGUGACGUUCCUUAUGGAAGAGUUGUGGUGAUCUCAGAAGGAAACAUUCCAACUCAAAAGGACAAAGCCUGAAACUGUACUUAGAACUUCCUAUUUUAUUACACAAAGGAAAGAGACUUUAUCUUGGGCCUUCACAAGGAAGACAUCCUUCUCCGACCUGGCUGUCAGGUUCACUUUUAUAUUCAUGUGUAUUUCUUCUUUAAGCCUCUCAAUCUGCCACCUCUCAAAUGUUUUCUCUGGAAAAAUACAUUUCCUCCACUGGCUGAGGCUCUAGGUUCUUCCUUUCAAUCUUCAGUCUCAAUUAGCAUUAACUAGAUGAGCACAGAUGUUCACUGACUCUAAGUUUCUCAGGCUACACAGCCCAUGAGUGAGUGUGUAAGUAGAUCCUGUACCUACCAGUGAAAUUGUGACCUGCUGGUUCCCGACUUAAGUGGUAUGUUAGCUAAAGAUAUCACUCUAAGAUAAACAUAAGCUUUUCUUAGUGUCCAGAUAGUUAAAUCCCAUGAUGGAAAAAUAAUAUUUCUGUAUUAGCAGGCCUUUCUGGCUUAGUCCCUUGGGAAUGAUAGGACCUCAUUAGUGGGUGAAAGGGCCCCAGGCUCUUUCCUGUUCUGAUCAAGCCUGGAAGAAUCACACCACAGUAACUUCAGUUUUUAAUGGUUAUUCUAUUUAUAAUUUGGGAAAUAAUUACAGUUCUGAUUAAAUUAUGUUGUUUUUAGUUUCCCUCAAAUGGGAGGAGGAAGACUGCAAAUUUGUCUCACUUCAACAAUUUGUACAAAUUAUUUACUUACCGUUGUUAUAAUUAACCCAGAGGAAAAAAUACAGGGUUCCAUGAUGUGCACAGCUGGGGACAUCAGACAUGAUCUGGCAAGAAAGGGAGAAGGUUCCUUAAAGAGUUGAGAUAUAAAAAGUAACUAAGCGUCUUCCACUUCCAGUCAAGAUGGAGUAAUGGGGAUUGGAUUUACCCUCACACUUGACCCAACUACAGCACUGGACAAAAUGUA